ensembl:lncRNA
GCAUAGUAGCAGGUGUGGUUACUUAUUUAUGAAGCACAUUUCCUCUGAGGUGUGGAAAAUGAGCUAGCUGUGAACCUGAUCCCGGCCUUAGAACGCUGACAGUGAGGAGGCAGAGCCCAGCCUGACCCCCCACAGCUCUCCCCCUCUGGUGCUCCUGGUAAUUCCCUGAGCUUCCCUUGUAUUCCCUUCUUGCUAGACAAUGAGGUCCUGAAGGGCAGGGACAGUGUUUGGUCACCAUUGUUUUCCUGUGCCCAGAGUCUCCCUGGCAAUAGGCAGGCCUUCAGUAAAUACAUAUAUCAUGAGUGAAUUUGGCAGACAAGCUUGCAACUACCCGGAAGCUGGAGGGAGGUAAAUACAAAAGAGGAGGCGAGGCCUUGGAGCUCCCAGACACCCACCCUAAAACAAGGAAGUAAUGCUAGAAACAGAUGGACAGAAGAAGCACCAUUUGAAGAAAGCUGUGGACCUCCUAUAGGAGAAAAGCCCCAAACAAACUUGACACUCUUUCAAGCGCAUGGUCUGACUCCUCCAGAACAAGGAAAACAAAACAAAACAGCCUUAAGUAAUCCACUCCCCCCAAUAAAAACGCCUACCCCAAACAGCAAUUGCUCCAGACUCAUAGAGCGUCCUAGUUACACAGUGGAAAGAACAAAGAUGUGAUUUAAGCAUCUUGAAAUUGAAAUAGCAAUUGCCAAACACCAGAGGAUCAGCAGAAUCAUUAGAUUCCAGAAAAUGCAGAACCUCUGAGGCCUCUGUAUUCUUCCAUUCUGAUGUCAGACUACUGGCAGCCCACGCUGAGCUGCCUUAUAAGAAAGUGCAGCUAGGCCACUAGAAAGAAGCAGAGGAAGGAGGGGCCAGCUGGCAUUGCUGGGGUUUGGAAGCUCUGCACUGCAGAUUCUGUUAACCAACACUGGACACUGUCUUCCUCUGCUCUCAGUGACCAGUGAGGCCAAGGCGGGCCACUUCAGCUGACUAGACACAGAUGUAGAUGUCUAUAAGUUUAUCAGUCAGGGGCCUGCCAGGAAAAUAGAAUUUAUCCCAGGUGGUUCAAAUAGAAAGACUAAUAAAAAGGAUCGACAGCAGUGAGCAUGAGGGAAACAGAUAAGGAGCAUUGUGGUACCUGAAGACUUGUGUCAGGGGUCGCCAUUACUUCUGUAAGGGCAAAGAGCAGCAGGAAGUCUCAGUGCCUGACCUGGCAGGACUGCAGCUAUGAGGAAGGGCUUCCAGAGAUGGGGCUCCAGAACAGGGAGGGAGUGGAGAAGAAAUCCUUGCCCAUUUCUCCCGAUUCCUGCUGACAAAAGCAGAAGCCAGCCAGCGAGGGUGCUCACAAUGGCACUUUCCUCAAGGGUCAGCUCCUGGAGCUGAGAAUACAUGGAGGCAGCCCUUUCGGGGAGAGGAUCUUGUGGGUUGCUGCAGGCAGUGACAGUGAUUUGCAGAAAGGUCAAUUAUUUGGAAGAGUUUAAAAAGGAUUGGAAUUCACCAGUGGAGCUAUCUAGUCCUGAACUUUUCUUUGUUGGUUGUCCAAUUUGCUGGGCUAUAACGUGGCACUGUGAUAAAGAGACUGCCUGCCAAAGCAAGAGAUGUGGUCUCGAUCUCUGGGUUGUGAAGAUCCCCUGGAGUAGGAAAUGGCAAUCCAUUCCAGUAUUCUUGCCUGGGAAAUUCCAUGGACAGAGAAGCCUGGUAGGCUGCAGUCCAUGGGGCCACAAAGAGUCAGACAUGACUGAGCGACUGAAUACAGCACAGUUGUUCAUAGUAGUCUCUUAGGAUCCUUUGUAUUUCUGUGGUAUCACUUGUAAUGUCUCCUCUUUCCUUUAUAAUUUUAUUUAUUUGAAUUCUUUGUCUUCUUUUUUUCUUGGUAGGUCAAACUGAAAUUCCAACACUGGAUAUUACCUGUUUUUUUUAAUGUUUGCUAGUUUGAUGAACUAUAACAUUUUAGUGUUUUAAUUGUAUUUUUGUUUACCGUGAGAAAUGGAAUAUUUUCCUUUGCCGUUUUCCAUUUCUAUUUCUUUUACUAUGAAGUACCUCUUUAUAUUCUUUCCCCCUUUUUAUUAAAUGGUUCACCUUAUUAAUGAAUUGUAAGAAUUAUUGACAUACUGAAUAUUAGCCUUAGCUUGUUUUACAUGCUGCAGACAUUUAAAUGUUAUUUUAACUUUGUGAUGUUUUUAUGGCUCCAAAUUUUGGAUGAUUAUGUGGCCCAGGUUUUUAAUCUUUUUUCUUUGUGGCUUCGGUGCUUUUCUACCUUCAGUAGGCCUUCCUCAUCCCAUGGUUAUAAACAAAUGAAGACAUUUAUUAAAGUCGCAGUGAGCUGUAGGCCAGCAUUUCCUUGGCUGUAGAGACUUAGGAGAGAAGCCCAGGUUGGGUUGGCUCUGCCUGGAGGCCAACAGUUCCACACUUCCUUCAUCCAGGGCAAAGAAAAGAGGCCACAGCUUGUGGAUGGUCACCACUGCCAUGAAGCAAGUCUAGACAGAGGCCUUCAAGCUGCUCUUGCUGUCCGCUCCAUCCUGGGAGGGUGCAGGAAGCAUGAGGCCACUGGGAAGACUGAGUCAUGGAGAGUCCCAUGCCUUCCUGCCCAAAGCCCCUGACAUGCUCAGCAGUCCCAGAACAGUGCAGGCAAGCUUCAUAAGAGAGAGAUUUUGAGGAUGCGCUGUCAAGUAGUAGAAAAAACAGACAUAGAGUUGUGGUUCUGAUGGUAAACGUGAAAGCAUCUGUUGUCACAAGGUCUCACUCAAGCAUCCGUAUUUGUUUUUUUUUUUUUUUUUUAAUUUUUAUCAUUUAGUAGCAUUUUAAAUUUUUUAUUUAUUGUUUUAAUUGGAGGCUAAUUACUUUACAAUAUUGUGGUGGUUUUUGCCAUACACUGACAUGGAUCAGCCAUGGGUAUACAUCUGUUCUCCAUCCUGAACCCCCCCUCCCACCUCCUUCUGCAUCCAAUCCCUCUGGGUCAUCCCAGUGCACUAGCCCUGAGCACCCUGCCUCAGGCACUAAAGCAUGGACUGGCGUGCAUGGACUGGCAAUCUAUUUCACAUAUGAUAAUAUACAUGUUUCAAUGCUCUUCUCUCAAAUC